rnacentral:rRNA from 1 species
UACGGAGGGUGCGAGCGUUGUCCGGAAUCACUGGGCGUAAAGGGCGCGUAGGUGGCGCGGGAAGUCAACGGUGAAAGUUCGGGGCUCAACCCUGAAUCGGCCGUCGAUACUGCCGGGCUCGAGCACUGUAGAGGCAGAUGGAAUUCCGGGUGUAGCGGUGGAAUGCGCAGAUAUCGGGAGGAACACCAAUAGCGAAGGCAGCUCGCUGGGACGGUACUGACGCUAAGGCGCGAAAGCGUGGGGAGCGAACAGG